CAAGGGAAUUAAUUGUUCUGCAUUAAUACCCAAAAAUAUUAUGUUCUGGUAUUACAUAAAUAAACACCAAACUCCACAUGUUAAUAGAGCCUAAACAACCAUCAAUUAACCGCUUGUAAGCACGAAUCUGUUCCCCAUUCUAAAGUCACAUUUUGUUCGUCCCUAAUUACUAGUAGUUUAGUGUUAAUUAACCACUUAAUGCAAGAAUAUGUUCCCCUUGAAUCACUUCCUUAAAAGCCACAUAUUGAUUUGAGCUAAUUAGCAUGUACGUUAAUCAGCAACCAACCGUUAACUUUCACUUAACAAACCAUUAUGAAUGGCUUAUUUAGAUAAAACUCUUAAUUUAUGGCCUGUUAAUGUUAGAAUGACGGCAUUAGUAAUAAGCUGUUAAUAAGUGCUUGAUAAUGUCUACUUCAGGCUUACUAGUCCACUAAUAUGCAUAUUAAUUGGCAGCUAAUUAAUGGUCAUUUGUGUUCCCUAAACUAAAGCGUUGCCACAUCUGCUAUGAGAUGCCCUUUGGUAUGAUCAGUGUCUGCUGCUAGAUCUCUUUGGCGCGCGCCUUUUUGGUGAUGCUGUUAACACAUUCAAAGGAAGUAGCGUGCUGACCAAUCACAGGCUUGCACUUUCCAAAGAUGUAGUCCAUCAGUUGAAAACUUGGUGAUGUCUCUGUCAGAGCUGCUGCUUUGAUGGGUGAUGGUGUCUGUGCACCACCACAGAUGGGCUUAAUCCACCUUAUGUGCCUGUUUAUUGACACAUUUGACUGCUUGGCUCCAGAUGUUGGCUCGGCCCUGUAGCUGAACUCACCGCUGUUUAAACUCUGCAUACAGGAGGCGGUUGGGAAACCCCUUCCGGCAGAUCCUGAUCCCCUCCAGGACUCCGUUACACCUGAGCUGAUGCAGGACCAGGAAGGGAUCCAUCACACCUGGAAACAACAGUCGACCCUCUCGUUGGUGCAGUAAUUUCGUGCUGCCUGAACCCGGAAGGACGUGACUCGGGUUCGUGUAAACCGGCAUCGUGGUACUUUGGUCUGUGGUUCAUGUUCAGCAACGUGUUGAGAGUUUUCAUCUAUGAAGAAGCCUGACAGAAUCCCCCUGAAGGCACCUGAGCCACCCACCAGUGGUUCGAUGCCAGACUUGCUGUGAAACUGCUGACUGGGCGGAUUCUCACCUGGAUUCUUGUCCUCGUUGGGGAUUAUGCAGCGGACAAAGUGAGGCUGAGUGCUUCGUAGGUUCGCCAUCAGUUUAUUCAGAUUUUCCUGUAAUUUCACACAGAAAUUGGAACAUUUACAUCAGCUGACGGCGUUUUGCUUUUUGUGUCAUCAUAACUAGCCUGAGCUCACCUUGUGCAGCUGUGAAACCGUCUGAAACGACGCUGCUUUCCUCUUCCGGUGCUUGGUCUCGCUCUUUGGGUCGCUGGCUGAAAUGACACCAACAACCACUUUUAACAGGAUUCUCCCAGCCGUCCUUGUUAGGUGGAACGAGGACAUACCCGUAUC